rnacentral:rRNA from 1 species
ACGAAGGGGACUAGCGUUGUUCGGAAUCACUGGGCGUAAAGCGCACGUAGGCGGAUUUGUAAGUCAGGGGUGAAAUCCCGGGGCUCAACCUCGGAACUGCCUUUAAUACUGGGUAUCUCGAGUUCGAGAGAGGUGAGUGGAAUUCCGAGUGUAUAGGUGAAAUUCGUAGAUAUUCGCAAGAACACCAGUGGCGAAGGCGGCUCACUGGCCCGAUACUGACGCUGAGGCACGAAAGCGUGGGGAGCAAACAGGA